rnacentral:rRNA from 1 species
CUACGGGACGCUCCAGUAAGGAAUAUUGCGCAAUGGAGGCAACUCUGACGCAGCCAUGCCGCGUGCAGGAAGAAGGCCUUAUGGGUCGUAAACUGCUUUUAUUUAGGAAUAAACCCCCGAACGUGUUCGGGGCUGAAGGUACUAAACGAAUAAGCACCGGCUAACUCCGUGCCGGCAGCCGCGGUAAUACGGGGGGUGCAAGCGUUAUCCGGAUUUAUUGGGUUUAAAGGGUGCGCAGGCGGGCUAUUAAGUCAGUGGUGAAAUCCCGGGGCUCAACUCCGGAACUGCCAUUGAUACUGAUAGUCUUGAGUUUGGUUGAAGUGGGCGGAAUGUAGCAUGUAGCGGUGAAAUGCAUAGAUAUGCUACAGAACACCAAUCGGGAAGGCAGCUCACUAAGCCAAAACUGACGCUCAUGCACGAAAGCGUGGGGAUCAAACAGGAUUAGAUACCCUGGUAGUC